rnacentral:rRNA from 1 species
CCUACGGGUGGCUGCAGUGGGGAAUAUUGGACAAUGGGCGAAAGCCUGAUCCAGCCAUGCCGCGUGUGUGAAGAAGGCCUUCGGGUUGUAAAGCACUUUCAGUGGGGAAGAAAGCCUUGGGGCUAAUACCCUCGAGGAAGGACAUCACCCACAGAAGAAGCACCGGCUAACUCCGUGCCAGCAGCCGCGGUAAUACGGAGGGUGCGAGCGUUAAUCGGAAUUACUGGGCGUAAAGCGCGCGUAGGCGGUCUGAUAAGCCGGUUGUGAAAGCCCCGGGCUCAACCUGGGAACGGCAUCCGGAACUGUCAGGGUAGAGUGAAGGAGAGGAAGGUAGAAUUCCCGGUGUAGGGGUGAAAUGCGUAGAGAUCGGGAGGAAUACCAGUGGCGAAGGCGGCCUUCUGGACUGACACUGACGCUGAGGUGCGAAAGCGUGGGUAGCAAACAGGAUUAGAUACCCGGGUGU